CGGGUGUAUUCAACUUUUCGACUCAACCUGACAGCUGCCUCUCAGACUCUCUGAAAGACAUGAAGAACUGCAGUAUCCAAUGUCUUACGCUGAUGAUGGCGAUGAUGAUGGUGAUAGUCUACACUGCAUUGAUAAACGAACCGAGUGUACUACGGGAUAAGAUAAGAGAAGCAGCAGAGAAACUAUACCAUGCAAAUGAAAAGCUUCCACCAACAUUGGUGCCAAAGUUUUCAGAACAAGUCACGUGUGUGGAACACUUCUUCUGUUUGGCUGAGAAGGCUCUGGGGAAGGUAAAUUCGACGAAACUAAACGUAUCACCGCUCACACGUAACCUGCAUCAGUACAAUAUAAAGACCGGGAAUGUCAACUGUUCACUGGAAACGGCAAGAAAACGAUCGUACAAUCUCCAGAAAUUACUUUGUGAAAUCACAGUAUGUCUACAAUACCAGAGCCACAUCUGUAAUCAGAAGGGGAAUGGAGUACACAACAAUUCACAUAAAGUGUGACUGCAUGCAUUAACAUAUGCAAUAUACAUAAGUUAUUUUUUUAUUUAUUGCAUAUUUAUUGAAUUUCAUUUUUAAAAUAUUUGUAUUUAUAUAUUAAUAAAUUAUUGUGGAACAGUGUUU
rnacentral:lncRNA from 1 species